CCUACGGGAGGCAGCAGUGGGGAAUAUUGCACAAUGGGGGAAACCCUGAUGCAGCGACGCCGCGUGAGUGAAGAAGUAAUUCGUUAUGUAAAGCUCUAUCAGCAGGGAAGAAAAUGACGGUACCUGAGUAAGAAGCCCCGGCUAACUACGUGCCAGCAGACGUGGUAAUACGUAGGGGGCAAGCGUUAUCCGGAUGUACUGGGGGUUAAGGGAGCGUAGACGGCAGUGCAAGUCUGGAGUGAAAUGCCGCAGCUUAACUGCGGAACUGCUUUGGAAACUGGCGAACUAGAGUGCGGGAGGGGUAAGCGGAAUGCCUAGUGUAGCGGUGAAAUGCGUAGAUAUUGGGAGGAACACCGGUGGCGAAGGCGGCUUACUGGACCGUAACUGACGUUGAGGCUCGAAAGCGUGGGGAGCGAACAGGAUUAGAUACCCGGGUAGUC
rnacentral:rRNA from 1 species